AAUCAACGCUGGCGGCGUGCCUAACACAUGCAAGUCGAACGCUAAAGCCCCGCAAGGGGUCAGUAGAGUGGCAAACGGGUGAGUAACACGUGGGUGACCUGCCUUCGAGUGGGGGAUAACGUCCCGAAAGGGACGCUAAUACCGCAUGACAUCCUGCUUUUGAAAAAGCGGAGAUCAAAGCUGGGGAUCGCAAGACCUAGCGCUUGAAGAGGGGCCCGCGCCUGAUUAGCUAGUUGUUGAGGUAACGGCUCACCAAGGCGACGAUCAGUAUCCGGCCUGAGAGGGCGGACGGACACACUGGGACUGAGACACGGCCCAGACUCCUACGGGAGGCAGCAGUGGGGAGUUGUUCGCAAUGGGCGCAAGCCUGACGACGCAACGCCGCGUGGAGGACGAAGAUCUUCGGGUCGUAAACUCCUGUCGAGCGGGACGAACGCUUCGCGGAUGAAUAAGCCGCGGAAUUGACGGUACCGCUAAAGGAAGCCCCGGCUAACUCCGUG
rnacentral:rRNA from 1 species